UACGGAGGAUCCAAGCGUUAUCCGGAUUUAUUGGGUUUAAAGGGUGCGUAGGUGGUUCUUUAAGUCAGGGGUGAAAGACGGCAGCUUAAACUGUCGCAGUGCCUUUGAUACUGAAGAACUUGAAUACACUAGAGGUAGGCGGAAUGUGACAAGUAGCGGUGAAAUGCAUAGAUAUGUCACAGAACACCAAUUGCGAAGGCAGCUUACUAUGGUGUCAUUGACACUGAGGCACGAAAGCGUGGGGAUCAAACAGG
rnacentral:rRNA from 1 species